AUUGAACGCUGGCGGCAGGCUUAACACAUGCAAGUCGAGCGGAGAUGAGGUGCUUGCACCUUAUCUUAGCGGCGGACGGGUGAGUGAUGCUUAGGAAUCUGCCUAUUAGUGGGGGACAACAUUCCGAAAGGAAUGCUAAUACCGCAUACGUCCUACGGGAGAAAGCAGGGGAUCUUCGGACCUUGCGCCAAUAGAUGAGCCUAAGUCGGAUUAGCUAGUUGGUGGGGUAAAGGCCUACCAAGGCGACGAUCUGUAGCGGGUCUGAGAGGAUGAUCCGCCACACUGGGACUGAGACACGGCCCAGACUCCUACGGGAGGCAGCAGUGGGGAAUAUUGGACAAUGGGGGGAACCCUGAUCCAGCCAUGCCGCGUGUGUGAAGAAGGCCUUAUGGUUGUAAAGCACUUUAAGCGAGGAGGAGGCUACUGAGACUAAUACUCUUGGAUAGUGGACGUUACUCGCAGAAUAAGCACCGGCUAACUCUGUGCCAGCAGCCGCGGUAAAAC
rnacentral:rRNA from 1 species